AACGAACGCUGGCGGCAUGCCUAAUACAUGCAAGUCGAACGAGAUCUUCGGAUCUAGUGGCGCACGGGUGCGUAACGCGUGGGAAUCUGCCCUUGGGUUCGGAAUAACUUCUGGAAACGGAAGCUAAUACCGGAUGAUGACGUAAGUCCAAAGAUUUAUCGCCCAAGGAUGAGCCCGCGUAGGAUUAGGUAGUUGGUGAGGUAAAGGCUCACCAAGCCGACGAUCCUUAGCUGGUCUGAGAGGAUGAUCAGCCACACUGGGACUGAGACACGGCCCAGACUCCUACGGGAGGCAGCAGUAGGGAAUAUUGGACAAUGGGCGAGAGCCUGAUCCAGCAAUGCCGCGUGAGUGAUGAAGGCCUUAGGGUUGUAAAGCUCUUUUACCCGGGAUGAUAAUGACAGUACCGGGAGAAUAAGCUCCGGCUAACUCCGUG
rnacentral:rRNA from 1 species